rnacentral:rRNA from 1 species
CCUACGGGGGCUGCAGUGGGGAAUAUUGGACAAUGGGCGAAAGCCUGAUCCAGCCAUGCCGCGUGUGUGAAGAAGGCCUUCGGGUUGUAAAGCACUUUCAGUGGGGAAGAAAGCCUUGGGGCUAAUACCCUCGAGGAAGGACAUCACUCACAGAAGAAGCACCGGCUAACUCCGUGCCAGCAGCCGCGGUAAUACGGAGGGUGCGAGCGUUAAUCGGAAUUACUGGGCGUAAAGCGCGCGUAGGCGGUCUGAUAAGCCGGUUGUGAAAGCCCCGGGCUCAACCUGGGAACGGCAUCCGGAACUGUCAGGCUAGAGUGCAGGAGAGGAAGGUAGAAUUCCCGGUGUAGCAGUGAAAUGCGUAGAGAUCGGGAGGAAUACCAGUGGCGAAGGCGGCCUUCUGGACUGACACUGACGCUGAGGUGCGAAAGCGUGGGUAGCAAACAGGAUUAGAUACCCUUGUAGUC